AAAACAAAUGAUAGUCAGUCCCACUAAGCGCAAACCAGAUGGGAUGGCGUAUCGCUGCAGAAUGCUGUGGUUGCCAUUCUGGUUAAGUGUGCCUUGAAUUCUAAAUAAAUCACUGAGAGUGUCACCAGCAAAGCACCCCCACACCAUUACAACUCCUCCUCCAAGCUUCACGGUGGGAACCACACAUGGAGAGAUCAUCCGUUCACCCACUCUGCGUUUCACAAAGACACAGCGGUUGGAACCAAAAGUCUCAAAUUUGGACUCAUCAGACCAAAGGACAGACCAAGGACAUCAGACCAGACCACCGGUCUAAUGUCCAUUGCUCGUGUUUCUUUGCCCAAGCAAGUCUCUUCUUCUUCUUGGUGUCCUUUAGUAGUGGUUUCUUUGCAUCAAUUCGACCAUGAAGGCCUGAUUCACGUAGUCUCCUCUGAACAGUUGAUGUUGAGAUGUGUCUGUUACUUGAACUCUGUGAAGCAUUUAUUUGGGCUGCAAUUUCUGAGGCUGGAAACUCUAAUGAACGUAUCCUCUGCAGCAGAGAUAACCCUGGGUCUUUCUUUCCUGUGGCGGUUUUCAUAAGAGGCAGUUUCAUCAUAAUGCUUGAUGGUUUUUGCGACUGCACUUGAAGAAACUUUCAAAGUUCUUGAAAUGUUCCAUAUUGAUUUAGGUAAAAACAUUAACGUUACAUGUCUAAACAAAAGACCAAGUUAAAAUGUGCUGUUAGCUAGCUAACAUUAGCGGAGGUUAGAUGGCUGGCUUGCUAACGUUACUCUAUGGAUUGUGAUUUUAGUUUAAAAAAAACAUUGCUUGCUAACGUUAACAUUACAUCUCUAAACAAAAGAUCCCAAGUUAAAGCUGGCUGGUUACACCUAAAGCACGAGGACUUGCUGCGAGUGGUGAACUUCAUCAACAACUACGCAGAGGAUAGUGGAAUAGUAUUACCAGGACGCCACCCAGGACACAAACGCUUUGCUGGAAAGCUGCUGCCAUCCCAUGUGACAAAAGCAGCAGUGUGGAGUCUCUACAAGGAAUCGAUGACAACACUUGAGGUACGUGUAGUCGGGCGGUCGUCCUUCAGGAAUCUAUGGAGAAAAUUGCUGCCCCACAUCUCAAGCACGAAGCUGAGGACAGACCUGUGCUGGCAGUGCUAGAGGAACAACUCUCAGGUUUUCAGAUCUGCUAAUCUGCCAGAAGCUGUUAAGUCAGCCAAGCUGAAGAAGCAAGAGCAGCAUCUCCUGCCUGUUCAGAGUGAGCGGUCUGUCUACAAGACGAUGGUUGCUGACUGCAAGACCACCUGUCAAGACCUGUAGUUGUCUCUGUGGGCCCCUACCGAACCAGCAAGCAAAGACAUCAGGAUGCAUUACAGCUUUGAUUUUGCUUAACAACUGCACUACCCUUCUGAACCUAUGCAGCCAGGUCCAAUCUACAUUUUAACGCCUCGCAAGUGUUGCUUGUUUGGUGUCUGCUGUGAAGGAAUACCACAACAAGUCAACUACUUGAUUGAAGAAGGCAGCAGCGCAGUCAUCAACUACAUGCACCAUUUCUUCACCAACUACGGAGUUGGGGAAACACAUGUGGACCUGAAUUAUGAUAACUGCAGUGGCCAAAACAAGAACAAUGUUGUGCUCUGGUAUUGUGCCUGGAGGACCAUGCACAGGCUCCACCACAGUCUGGAUCAUCUCUACCUGCAGUGCCUCUAGUCAAAUGACUCCCUCCUACGUUGCGGCUACAAUUUUUUUUAUUCUGCUGCUCAGCCACUUUACCCCUGAUUGUAUGUAUAUAAUGACCUCAUCUAUCACUGAUAUCGUGAUUAAUAUUGUUCAUACUGUAUAUUUUAUUUAUAUUGACACCAUCUAUUUAUGAUAUUGCUACAAUGCAAGUAUUUGCAACCAUUUACAGCCGACUGGAGCAUACAGGUCGCAGUGGUGGGUGGUAUAAGGUGAUUUGGUAACAAAACGUGAGUCUGUGAUAGACUGCAUCCAGUUUGCGGAGUAGAGUGUUGGAAGCAAUUUUGUGGAUGACAUGAGGAUAGUCAGUUUUACUAGGGUAAGUUUGGCAGCGUACUUACAGUUCCAUCUGUUUAAUAAAUAUGCAACUCAUCAAAAACAAUACAGGAGAAAACUAAACGUAACAUUCUGGGCUAUUCACAGCCAGCUACACAAAAACAAGAUCCCACAAACGACAGGUGUGAAAAGACUGCCUAAAUAUGAUCCCCAAUCAGAGACAACGAUAGACAGCUGCUUCUGAUUGGAAACCAUACCAGGCCAAAAAAAGAAAUAUAAAACAUAGAUUGCCCACCCUAGUCACACCGUGACCUAACCAAAUAGUGAAUUAAAAUGAUCUCUAAGGUCAGGGCGUGACACCUCCAUUCUCUAUUGAAAAGCAUAGAUGACAUGUACUUUUCCCGCUGCCCCUGUUUCGAGACACACAUGUUAUUUAGUAUAUGUAAAGACAAUAUUAAUUCAAGAAUAGCCUGAUGGGUGACAAUAUUAGCCUAUCACUUGUGAAUUAUAUAUUAUCACUUAUGAAUGAUGCCCAGCAUAAGGAGAGAAACAAUGCCUUUUCAUAUUCGCACACCUCAUGUAGCCUAGCCAAUAGGCCUAUAUGUUUUGAUAAGGUUUGUAUCACAACUAAAGUGGACAAAUAACUUCUCAAAAUGAAGCACAUUAAUCCGCUUUAAACUGGGUGUAGAAUGGCCUCCCGAGUGGCGCAGUGCUAACCCGUGCCACUAGAGAUACUGGUUCGAGUCCAGGCUCGGUCGCAGCCGAUCGCAACUGGGAGACCCAUGGGGCGGCGCACAAUUGGCCCAGUGUCAUCCGGGUUAGGGGAGGAUAGGGCCAGCAGGAAUGUUCUUGUCCCAUCGCUCACUAGUGACUCCUGUGGUGGGCCGGGCGCAGUGCACCAAGACAAUAGAAUAGAAUAGAUUCCAAGACAAUGGUGUAGCUGGCUUCCGGGUUAAGCGGGCAUUGUGUCAAAAAGCAGUGUUGCUUGGCUUGGUUGUGUUUCUUCGCCUCUCCCGAGUCUGUACGGGAAUUACCAGGGAUGGGACAAGACUGUAACUAUCAAUUGGAUACCAUGAAAUGGGGGAUAAAAAGGGGUAAAAAAAUAUAACAAAAAUGUGAAAUGUAUAAAUUAAAUCAAAGGGUGUAGAGCCUAACUGGCAUACAUAAGCAGCGCAUGAGUUUCAAGUUCAUAAUAAAAGCAUUUCAUGCAUGAUCACAUUUUCUGUCACUUUUGAUAAUGGUGUUUUCCCUAUAGCCUACUGUCAUAUGCACAUUGGUGAGCUUAUAAUGUGAAGAAAUAGCUGAAUAGUUUAUCAACAUUUUAAGCUAAACAUAGUGAUCUGAUGUGUCAGCCACAUUGUGAAAAAUAUUUUUUGAUGCCAGUGGUUGGAUUAAUUUGUGAUCUAUCGUAUCUCCAACUGUGGAAGAAUAUGUUUGGAAUAUAAAUUUCUCGGACAGAAUAGAAUAGUACUAUGGGGGAUAGUAGAUGGACAUGGGCUAGUGCUUUUGAUGUUUGUUAAGCCUACUCACCUUGUUGGCUGACAAAAUUUAAUGUGGACAGUUCUUCCAAUAUAUUCAAUAUGCACCUCGGAAUUGGAUAAGGACACGUGCAGUUGCGUCCCGAUGUGUCUGUUUUCAUUUGUAGCCUGUGAGAAAGACCCGAUCAGGUGAUGGAGAGCCAUGUGAGUGAGAUGUGUUUCAGAGCACGCAGCACUCAGGGAGAAGAGCACAACGCAGCACUCCGGGCCAAGGGCACAAAUGCCACUGGGCGCAAAAGGCCUGGAUUUUUUAGGGUGCAUUACGGUCACACAAAGGGGAUGCCGCCGUGAAAUUUGAGGCAUUAUCAAGUGCUUGUCAAAUUGUGAAUGUGAGACUGAUGAAGUGUGUACAGCCUGCACAGCUCAUGACUUUCAAGCAACUUUAUUCAAAUCAUCAUUAGUCUCAUCAUGCAGCCUUGUAUUAAAAAGCCAAACAUAUAGAACAAAUAAAGUUACAUUAAUAACUCUAAAUUAUGCAGAAAAAUCUAUCAAGUUCCUUGGCGUACACAUCACUGACAAACUGAAAUGGUCCACCCACACAGACAGUGUGGAGAAGAAGUCGCAACAACGCCUCUUCAACUUCAUGAGGCUGAAGAAAUUUGGCUUGGCACCUAAAACCCUCACAAACUUUACAGAUGCACAAUUGAGAGCAUCCUGUCGGGCUGUAUCACCACCUGGUAUGGCAACUGCAACGCCCACAACCGCAGUUGUGGGGGUAAACUACCUGCCCUACAGGACACCUACAGCACCCGAUGUCAAAAAGAUCAUCAAGGACAACAACCACCCAAGCCACUGCCUGUUCACCACGCUAUCAUCCAGAAGAUGAGGUCAGUACAGGUGCAUCAAAGCUGGGACCGAGAGACUGAAAAACAGCUUCUAUCGCAAGGCCAUCAGCUAGCCAUCACUAGCACAUUACAGGAUGCAUAUAUACAUUGAUUUCAAAUCCAUGGCCACUUUAAUAAAUGGAACACUAGUCACUUUAACACUUGAAUAAUGUUUACAUAUUUUGCAUUACUCAUCUCAUAUGUAUAUACUGUAUUCUAUUCUAGUCUACUGUAUCUUAGUCUAUGCCGCUCUGAGAUCGUCACAGAGCCCUUGGUACUGUUGCUCAUUCCGUGCACCAGUUUCGGAGGUCUACAUCACCGGUCUCUAGGCACUGAACUGUGCCAUUACGCACACACCUGGUCCCCAUUUCCUCACUGAUUUAUAUUUGUAUAAAUGUGCCUUUGGUUCACCAUUGGGCUGUUGAUUAUUGUUCCCAUGUCCGUUGGUCAUGUGAGUACAUGUGCCUUGUUGUUUAGGCUUUCGUGUCGCUUGUAGUGUGCAGAUGAUUACGGGUCUCGUCCCGUAUUGUAUCAUUGUAUGCUUGUGUUUUCAGGUCUCGUCCCGUGUAUUUUUUCGAGGUACUCCUCACUCUUUUGUUUGGGUCUCAACCCUGUGUUUUGUAUACGUGUUUGUUUGGUCUUUGUCCCGUGCCUUAACUUCUUGCAUCGAGCAAUCCCGUAUCCGGAAGCGUAAUCAUAGCCUCAAGCUCAUUAGCAUAACGCAACGUUAACUAUUCAUGAAAAUCGCAAAUGAAAUGAAAUAAAUAUAUUGGCUCACAAGCUUAGCCUUUUGUUAACAACAAUGUAAUCUCAGAUUUUCUAAAUAUGCUUUUCAACCAUAGCUACACAAGCAUUUGUGUAAGAGUAUUGAUAGCUAGCAUAGCAUUAAGGCUAGCAUUCAGCAGGCAACAUUUUCACAAAAACAAGAAAAGCAUUCAAAUAAAAUAAUUUACCUUUGAAGAACUUUGGAUAUUUUCAAUGAGGAGACUCUCAGUUAGAUAGCAAAUGUUCAGUUUUUCCAAAAAUAUUAUUUGUGUAGGAGAAAUCGUUCUGUUUUGUUCAUCACGUUUGGCUAAGAAAAAAACCAGAAAAUUCAGUCAUUACAACGCCAAACUUUUUUCCAAAUUAACUCCAUAAUAUCGAUAGAAAAAUGGCAAACGUUGUUUAGAAUCAAUCCUCAAGGUGUUUUUCACAUAUCUAUUCGAUGAUAAGUCAUUCAUGGCAGUUGGGUUUCUCCUCUGAAGCAAAUGGAAAAAUGCACGCAGCUGGAGAUUACGCAAUAAUUGCAACGGAGGACACCAAGCGAGCACCUGGUAAAUGUAGUCUCUUAUGGUCAAUCUUCCAAUGAUAUGCCUACAAAUACGUCACAAUGCUGCAGACACCUUGGGGAAACUACAGAAAGUGUAUGAUGCAUUCCUUGCGCAUUCACAGCCAUAUAAGGAGACAUUGGAACACAGCGCCUUCAAAAUCUGGGGCAUUUCCUGUUUGAAAUUUCAUCUUGGUUUCGCCUGUAGCAUCAGUUCUGUGGCACUCACAGAUAAUAUCUUUGCAGUUUUGGAAACGUCAGAGUGUUUUCUUUCCAAAGCUGUCAAUUAUAUGCAUAGUCGCGCAUCUUUUCGUGACAAAAUAUCUUGUUUAAAACGGGAACGUUUUUUUAUCCAAAAAUUAAAAGAGCGCCCCCUAUAUCGAAGAAGUUAACAGGGCAUGCUGUAAUUUGGGUAGUAAUAGAACAAACUGUUACAUAUUCCUGCAUCUGUCUCCCGAUCCUUUAUAUGAACGGGACAGACAUUUCUCAUCCAAAUAUUUAUAUAUUCUUAAUUCCAUUCCUUUACUUUAGAUGUGUGUAUUGCUGUGAAAUUGUUAGAUAUUUCUGCACUGUUGGAGCUAGAAUCGCAAGCAUUUUGCUACACCCACAAUAACAUCUGGUAAACACGUGCAUAUGAUUUGAUUUUGAUUUGAUAUAGGUGUACAUAUUUCUUUGUUAACCUUUCAACACAGAAUAGACACCUGUGCGCACUCCCUAAAAUCGUUGAGGGGAAUCUGGUUGAUCCUGAGAGUGGUUCCUAAGUGCAGAUCUGGCCUUGGGAAAUCCAUAGCAGUUGUGCGUGUUUGAAAUGUAAUUAGCGAAUGCUGGAGUUUUCUUUGGGCCAUACAUAAUUAAUGUGGUUGUAAUUGUUCCAGGAUCAUCUGUUACAACCCUGACCAAGAAAAAAGGUCCACGAUCAGCACGUGCGGAGCAUACUCCUUUUGGGGGAGAAAACCAUUCUGGUUAGGGAGAUGGCCCAGCACUGUUCCUCUCUGAACAGAUUUGCGUUGGUCCUUAGGACCCAGAUUUCAAGUGAUGGCAGGUUCCUCUCAUACCCACCAUUUUUCAGCUAGUUUGAUUUCACACAAAUCCCGAUAUUGUUCUGUCAAUUCCCACCAAGUUAAUGUAUUUAUUUGAUCAGUCUUGUGAUUUUGUAUCUGUAUGUUAAUAAUUUGAUGUCUUUCUUUCGUACCUAUACUACAGGACAUUCUGCAGAAGGACACACAGGUCUACUGAGACUCGCAGAAAUUUGGGGGAGGCUUAAGUUACUCAGGCAAAUGUCCAAGACUGCUUUGGGUCUGAACUCCUCUUUUCUUUUAGAUGGGGAUGAGGAGGAACAGAAGGGAUAUGACUACAUUAGCAGUGGUGAUGAUGAAGAGGAGGCAGAAGAGGGAGCAACCUAGGUACUACAGUACUUUGUAAUUAUACUGAUGUUGUUUUGUUGCCUUGAACUUUUAUGAGUUACCAUAGUUUUUACAUUGUUAUUUGUUUUUGUGUGUAGUUGUGUGUAGUUGACAUUUCAAAUAACUGUAUUUUACAUGUACAUACAUCCAUUACAGAUGGAUUACUAUGGCUUCAAUACAUUUUAUUAGGCUUUUUGUUUUUUGUUUUUCUUACUAUGUAAUAGACAAGUGCAGUUCAGGUUCCCUUCCUGAGAGCAGGAAGAGUUGCUUCAGAAGACAGCUGUCAUACCAUCUACCUUCACCAAAAGCCCACUCCAUGCAGCUGUGAAUCUGUCCCCCACAAUACCACCCUUUCAUUUAAGGGGGACUCAUUUAAUUAAAUUCUCUGUACCUCUCAGCCCCAGACACUUAUUUUUGGCUACAGAGGAAGGAUGGUCCUGGGAAAAUGUAAGCCCUCUUAAAUUCUUAAACAACACUUUAGAUGUAAGGACUGAAAGUCCAUGACUUCCACACAAUGUUAAACAUAUGAUUGAGCUUUCUUUGGUGUUUAUAAAUAAUGGCGUAAUAAAACCUAAGGAGGGAAUACGGUGGUCAACAAUUGAAGAGUUUAUUUCCAUCAGAAAUAUUAUGCUCCUUUAUGUGUUUGUAAAAUAUAACUCAUUCCUAGAUUUUAUACUGGUUUAGUUGCAAAACACCUUAUAUCCAUUGUUUAGUUGGAAUAUGUUUGUGUCCCAUAUAUUAACAUACAAAUUCAAAUCAUCAUAAAUCUGGCUUCAUGCGAUAGUGUUUGGUUAGAGUUAGGUCUCAUCCCAAAUGGCACCCUAUUCCCAAGUGCACUACUUUUGACCAGACCCUAUAUCUCAUAUUAUUGUACUGUCAUAUUAUUCUAUUGAUAAAUGUUUGAAUAUAUUUAUUUUUAAAUAUUCAUGCCACAAAUAUAUUAUUUGUACAGUUCUUUGUUUGUCACAUUUGACUGUGUAAAACCUACUUUUUUCUCUGAGAGUGAGGCAGACAUAUGUAAUUGUACUUACCUCAUGACAUUUUUCAUUUAUAUUCUUGUAGAGUCAUUGUGUACACACUGAGUGUACAAAACAUCAAGAACACCUGCUCUUUCCAUGACAGACUGACCAGGUUAAAGCUAUGAUGUCACUUGUUAAAGGGGAGGAUUUUUAAGCCUUGAGACAUGGAUUGUGUAUGUGUGCCAUUCGGAGGGUGAAUGGGCAAGACAAAAUAUUUAAGUGGACUAUCUGCCAUUACUACCACCAUUACUACUGUAGUCGCCACCACUACAGCAAAUUGGCCAAACGUCAUCCCACUGCAAAGAAAAAAACAUAAAUUAAUCAAAUGUAUAAGCUGAGAUACAAUGGGGAAGGUGCAUAGAUGGCAGAAUCCCAAAAUGUUAUUGUUAACACUAUCCACACUGAGUUUUUAAACUACGGCGAGCGAUAUGGUUCAAUAUACCAAUGAAUCAGCACAAUAUAUUAUUUCAUUUUUUGCCUGUGUCUUGAAGCUAAAAUUGGCCUCAUGUAUACCCUGCUAAUGAUCAUACAAAAAAACAGUAACGGAGAGCAAUGUACCAUAUGGAGAAAUUGGCAAAACGAGGAAUUUGUGGUAAGUGUAUGGGGUCCGUCACCUUUAUGUACCACUGCUAUUGGGAAAUCAUGGGUACGACCCUGUGUUUUGUGAAAU